rnacentral:rRNA from 1 species
UGGGGAAUUUUGGACAAUGGGGGGAACCCUGAUCCAGCCAUGCCGCGUGUAUGAAGAAGGCCUUCGGGUUGUAAAGUACUUUUGUUAGGGAAGAAAAGCUUGCUGCUAAUAUCAGUGAGUGCUGACGGUACCUAAAGAAUAAGCACCGGCUAACUACGUGCCAGCAGCCGCGGUAAUACGUAGGGUGCAAGCGUUAAUCGGAAUUACUGGGCGUAAAGCGAGCGCAGGCGGUUAUUUAAGUCAGGUGUGAAAUCCCCGAGCUCAACUUGGGAAUUGCGCUUGAAACUGGGUAACUAGAGUGUGUCAGAGGGGGGUAGAAUUCCACGUGUAGCAGUGAAAUGCGUAGAGAUGUGGAGGAAUACCGAUGGCGAAGGCAGCCCCCUGGGAUAACACUGACGCUCAUGCUCGAAAGCGUGGGUAGCAAACA